CGGAGCACCACCGCGGACGGAAAGUAGUGCCCGACGCGGCGGCUGCGGGACCUGACUGGAUUUGAGAAAAGAAAAGCAGUACAGCUGACCCUUGAACAAAAUGAAACUGAAAUGUGGAGUCACUUAAACACAGGUUUUUUCAGCUAAGAGCAGUACAAUACUCCCUCCUGAUGCUGGGCCUUGGCAGGAAGCUGCAGCUUCUAGUCAAGCCAGUCAAGCCACAAAGGUUAACAGAAAGAAUGAGUAUAAUAGCACUGAAAAUAUCCAAACCUACUGAAUGAGGAACUAUAAGAAAAAAAAAAUGAAAAGUUGCCGCCGAGCAUACAGCAAGUCUUCCCAGAACGUCCCGGAGCACUUUUCUGUGUGUUCAUCACCCCUCUCAGAAAUGCGUCCACUAUUAACUUUCAUUAAAAUAUGCUAGACGGCAGUUUGUACUCUGUGUCUUCAACUUAACACUAGCUUCUUCACUUAACAGGCUACAUUCCUAAAGGGUUAUGUAUCUGUCCUCACAAGCCUUCACUAUGCUACAAGUAAGUAGUGGCAAAACUGAAAGUCCCAAAGAACGGCUGUUUACAUCCGUCGAACUUAGUUAAGUAAAACAGUGUCUACACGUGUAUUUGAAGCUAUAAAUGAGGAAAACUCAAAGUAAAACCUAAAUUAAAAAGUAAUGACUCAAAAGCUCAGCAAGCUAACUAUAUUCUACUGAUGUUCCUUUCCAGAUUAAAGUUUAUGAUCAAGAACACACAGUUUUGAGGCACAAUUCUUAAAUUAAUGGCAUUUGGCUUCAAAGAAAC